rnacentral:rRNA from 1 species
UGGGGAAUAUUGGUCAAUGGGCGUAAGCCUGAACCAGCCAUCCCGCGUGAAGGAAGAAGGCGCUAUGCGUCGUAAACUUCUUUUCCAGAGGAAGAAAACCCCCGACGUGUCGGGGCUUGCCGGUACUCUGGGAAUAAGCAUCGGCUAACUCCGUGCCAGCAGCCGCGGUAAUACGGAGGGUGCAAGCGUUGUUCGGAAUUACUGGGCGUAAAGCGCGCGUAGGCGGUGUGUUAAGUCAGAUGUGAAAUCCCACGGCUCAACCGUGGAGGUGCAUUUGAAACUGGCACACUUGAGUAUUGGAGGGGGUGGUGGAAUUCCCGGUGUAGAGGUGAAAUUCGUAGAUAUGCGGAGGAACACCGAUGGCGAAGGCAAUCCCCUGGACCUGUACUGACGCUCAUGCACGAAAGCGUGGGGAGCAAACAGGAUUAGAUACCCUGGUAGUCCACGCCGUAAACGAUGGGCACUAGGUGUCGGCGGUCUAUAAUCCGUCGGUGCCGGCGCUAACGCAGUAAGUGCCCCGCCUGGGGAGUACGGUCGCAAGGCUG